CAGUGGCUACCUUUGAUUGACUACACAAUUUAAUACAAGCGCUUGAUUAGACCAUUGAUUGCCAGAUACACUUGGUAGAGUCUAUCCUCAGACUCUGGCCAUCGAUCUCUUGUAUACUAUGCUCAGGGGUGUCCACAAGUGGCUGGGCCUGGGAUGUAUUGUCAAGCCUAUAGCCCAAUCCUUGGUAUCUGGAUCAAGAUAUGACAUUACGGCACUGGCACUGGUGUUGUGUUAGCCUCCUUCACCGGCCUUCAAGGAAGUGCGGCCUGGGAUCGUGGCUAGUUUGUGUGGACCAUCACUGAGCAAAAUGGAACCUUCCCCUCCAACCCCCGUCGUACUCCUCCUAGCUGAUGGGUGUGAACUAAUUGAAAGAGGAUGCCCCAGUGCCACUCGUGUCCUUCCCAAGGGUCCGAUCUUAUAGAACUACCUGCACUAAAACUACGGACGUGGAAUGGCUCUUUCAACACUUGUGGUUGCUAUCCUGACCAGUGACGUCAGGAUUCUACUGUCUCUUGAUGCACUGUGAACACACAAUCUUUGUUAUGCCACCUGAAGGCUUAGCAGGCAUAUCCAACGCAGUAUUUAUUAAGUCUUUCUGGAAGCUCUUGUUUGAGAUCUUCGCUUCUAAACAUCUGCAUUUAUUAUGGACGCAGUACUGCUGUGCACAGUAUUAAUUUCUAGUGUCAUUAUAUCAUUAUAUCGCUGUAUUUUUAGCCAACUGUGAUAAACUGAAGAUUUUACAGUACAUAGCUGAUACUUA